rnacentral:rRNA from 1 species
AGUGAACGCUGGCGGUAGGCCUAACACAUGCAAGUCGAACGGCAGCACAGUAAGAGCUUGCUCUUACGGGUGGCGAGUGGCGGACGGGUGAGGAAUACAUCGGAAUCUACUUUUUCGUGGGGGAUAACGUAGGGAAACUUACGCUAAUACCGCAUACGACCUACGGGUGAAAGCAGGGGAUCUUCGGACCUUGCGCGAUUGUAUGAGCCGAUGUCGGAUUAGCUAGUUGGCGGGGUAAAGGCCCACCAAGGCGACGAUCCGUAGCUGGUCUGAGAGGAUGAUCGGCCACACUGGAACUGAGACACGGUCCAGACUCCUACGGGAGGCAGCAGUGGGGAAUAUUGGACAAUGGGCGCAAGCCUGACCCAGCCAUACCGCGUGGGUGAAGAAGGCCUUCGGGUUGUAAAGCCCUUUUGUUGGGAAAGAAAAGCAGCAGGUUAAUCCCCCGCUGUUCUGACGGUACCCAAAGAAUAAGCACCGGCUAACUUCGUG